rnacentral:rRNA from 1 species
ACGCUCGACACCUACGAGAGGCAGCAGUGGGGAAUAUUGCACAAUGGGGGAAACCCUGAUGCAGCGACGCCGCGUGAGCGAAGAAGUAUCUCGGUAUGUAAAGCUCUAUCAGCAGGGAAGAAGAUGACGGUACCUGACUAAGAAGCACCGGCUAAAUACGUGCCAGNCGCGAUNUNGCGGCGNGNGAG